ensembl:lncRNA
CCCCCGCCUUCCAUUAUCAUGCAUUCUUAAUUUUAGAUAAUAAACUAAUACAAACAAACAAUAGUACAAACAGUUUGUGUUGUAGCACAAUGAUAGUAGAAGCAUUUGAUGUUAAGAUUAGAUUACAUAAUGUACAAACAUGUAAGUGUACAGUAUGUGAGUAGGCCAUAUUAUAUUUGAAGUACACUGUAAGUACGUCUGUGUACACGGUAACUGCGUCUGUAAGUGCGUCUGUAAUCAAGUAUACACUGUAAGAAAGUCUGUAAGUACGUCUGUAAGUGCGUCUGUAAGUACACUGUAAGUACGUCUGUGUACACGGUAACUGCGUCUGUAAGUACACUGUAAGAAAGUCUGUAAGCGCGUCUGUAAGUGCGUCUGUAAGUGCGUCUGUAAGUGAGUCUGUAAGUACACGGUAACUGCGUCUGUAAGUACACUGUAAGAAAGUCUGUAAGCACGUCUGUAAGUACACGGUAACUGCGUCUGUAAGUGCGUCUGUAAUCAAGUAUACACUGUAAGAAAGUCUGUAAGUGCGUCUGUAAGUACACUGUAACUGCGUCUGUAAGUGCGUCUGUAAUCAAGUAUACACUGUAAGUGCGUCUGUAAGUGCGUCUGUAAGUACGUCUGUAAGUGCGUCUGUAAUGUGUCUGUAAGCGCGGCUGUAAGUACACUGUAAGUACACUGUAAGCACGUCUGUAAGUACGUCUGUAAGUGCGUCUGUAAGUACACUGUAAGUGCAUCUGUAAGUACACUGUAAGUGCGUCUGUAAGUGUGUCUGUAAGCGCGUCUGUAAGUACUGUAAGUGUGUAAGGGCACUAUAAAGACACUCAAUGUGGCUCCUCCAACCUCCAUCCCCAGUGUGUGUCAGGUGGGGAGGUAAGAGGCGGGGCGGGUUCACCGCCAACCAGAGCCCCACGGGGGGCCAAGCUGCCGUUUAAAAGCUAUUAUAAAUGCUAUGCCAUUAGCGACCGCCUCCAGCUAGCGCUCGCAAUGAAUAGGGGAUGCAAGGUGAAAUUCAUCUUCACAGAGUCAAAGGGCU